AACCCAGUAAAAUUGAAAGUCUGCACUUCAGUCACAUCUUUACUGUUUGAUUUAAAAUACACUGAGGUGAUGUACAGAGGUUAAAUUACAAAAAUCUGUCUGUGCAGAAAACGUUAAAUAUUGGACUAGUGUGCUUAAUUAAUUUUUCUGUUUAAAGAUGUUCAUCAGCUGCCAUCUUAUGGCCACUUUGAAAAAAGCCUGCUUCUUUCACAGGCCCAUCUUCAGCUAGCGUACGACAGAGGGAGACAGUGAUCUGUGUGAAUGCUGCUCUAACCUGUCUGCUGGUGACACACGACUCAGCUGGAGACAGCUUCAUUCAGACAUGCCCACAACAGUGAUGGAGAAAGAUGUGUUCCACGAGACGAGGCGAGGCUUCUUGGGUGGAAAGAGCCAAAGUUCUCCAUUGAGAAUCAUCAAUUUGAAAAUGGCAGCUAAGAGUCUCCAACUCAUCACAGUUAAGGACAACCUGCUGAAUGUAAAGCUAGAACUUGUACAAAGGUCUAUAAGAAGAGCACCAAAAUCACUUAAAUGCCAUUUCAGCAUUUAAGUCUGGUCUCUCUUUUACUAUGUGUGUGUGUUUGUUUUUACAGUGACGUGAAGGACAUUCAGAAUUUCCUCCUGAAUGAGUGCAAGUUGUAACAUUUGAGGAUGCAUGUCACUGGUUGUGGGAAGUUGGGGGUGUUGAAAGUUAUACUUUCCUGUGAGCUAUGUACUACAUUGUCUACCAAUUUGGAGGUUACAAGAUGUGCACAGUGAGAACAUGCCUUCCUAAAGAGCUUCCUUGAUUCUGUAAACGAUGUAUAACAAGUGCUUGACCUAAUGAAUCUCGUAGUAAUAGAACCAGUAAUGAUUUGCCAAACACAGUGGAGGGAAGAUUCAUGCAAUAAGUUUGAUAUGUGUCAAACUGUUAGGUUGUAAAAUUUGUUCUGAUGUUGGCAGGUGAUCGUCUGAAUAUCAUAGAGGAGAAAUAUAUAAAAGCUUGCACAACAGGUUUACGUGAUAUCUUUUUCAUGGUACUGUGCAUGCUUACUCCCGUCAUACUCUCACAUUGGUAGAAAACCUUCUAGUUUUCUAGUUGCUACCGGAUAAUGAAACUGACAGAAGAAUGUGCCUGAUGUUGCAGAUGUUAACUAUGAGAGAUCCUCAUCUUAUAAGAAUGAGAGCAUUAGUGUUGUCCCUCCUGUCACUCAACUCGUAGCAGCUACAUUACCUUCAAGAAUGGCAAAAAAUGCUUUCACUCUCAGCAUAGCUAUCAGCCAUCUCCGAGAUACAAGAUAAAUUGCAGCAUCGUGAAACGUAGAGAUAACAAAGCUGAAAAAGAAGGCACGUUUAUGGAAACAGUAGGAAAGACUUGGUUGUGCCCCACUUGAAAGUUUCAGUGGUUUCCUCAUUUGGACAGGAGGGUACAUGUCAGAAGGUGAAAGGAGCGACGCUGUGGAAUGCUGACAGGGGAAGGUCAGUCUUUCCAGUCACCAUGUCUCUGCAGGCUUCCAUGUGCUCUCCAAAGCCAUAUGCUUUGAUUACAGGCAGAGCCAGACAGAGUGACAAAGUGACUGCAAUGUGUGACGUAUUAGACACAUGCUAUAGGAGGAGCUGUUGAAUACAAAGAAUUACCAUGUUGAGGAGAGUGAAAACAAAAACCUUUUGUCUUUUAGUUGUCUUUUGCACCAAGGAAAAGAAAAUGGUCCUCCCACUGAGCCGUGGUGCUUCCAGUUUUCCUAUACAGCAAGCACCAGAACUGUGAAAAUCUAAAUGAAAGGAGUAUUCUUCAGAAGCAUUUACUUUAUGUGAAGAUAUGCUGAAAUUCAUAGUGAGAGCUGAAGGACACC